rnacentral:lncRNA from 1 species
ACAAGAAAACAACUAUACCAAAAUUGGCUACGAAUCAGGUGCAAGGGCACAUAAAAGAAGCAGCAAUUAUUUCUGAUCAAAGGAUUAGAGAAGAAUGUGCACAGAAGGUGACACAGAAACUCAGCUUAGAAAAAUGUAUAUUUGCGGGGAGAUAAAGGGGAAGGUAUUACAAUGUGAGGCUGUAUAAGAUUCCAAAGCACAGAGAUAUGAAUGUGAAAGGCUUAAUUUGAGAAAGACAAAAUGUUCAUAGUGACUGAAACUUGUUAGCAGAACUUGCAUAGUGCUAGCUCUAAAGAGAAGUUUGGGCUCGGUUUAGAGGGACUUUGGCUGCCAUACUAGGGAGUUUGGAUUCCAUUCUACAGUGUGGAGGAAGAUUUUUUAAAAGCACCAUUUAGUAAACACUGUGGUUGCCUCCUCAACAUCUAUUCCCUACACUACCCCUAUUGUCCUUUCUAACCAAAUCCAUUUUUUUUUUAAAUCAGAUAAUCCACCUCUCCUUUAUGAGAUUCAGGGGACAAUGAAUUCAUCUCCAUUUCCAAGGAUAGAUCUGUAUUAGCUUAAAUCAGGCAGGCUAACUCAUACUUCUUGUGCUUCCAUGACAGACUCUUUCUGGGUUAUACGUAAUAAAUAUACAUAAACAAUAUUAUACUUCAUUGUCCAGCAUAUACAAGAGGCAAACACAAAUCAGAAAUAUUAUCUUUACCAGUGGUACAUGAGUCCAUUUUUUGUCAAAUAGAGAGCAAUUGCUGCAGUAAUUGCAGUUUAUCACUAAGCCAGAUGCAGGGGUUACUCAUACAUAUGCCUUCUAAUUGUGGGCUACUAUUAAUAGUCACUGGCCUCCUUCUUAAAUUAUUUUCAGUCAUGAGCUUAACUUAAUGUGGUACCAUAUAUUCUUUCUUUUAAGGACCUUAAGAAUCUGGGAAGAAUUAGCCACACUCUAAUUUAGGAACAGAGAUGGAUGAAUCCACCUAUGGACAUUUACUGGUAUGAGUCACUGGGGAAGUUCACUAAGUCACUAUUUAAGAUGAUCCAGAACAGGUGUCUACAGCUGCCUUAAGAAUGAGUACUAUGGUGGUGAUGAAAAUGUUCCUCUCAGAUGUCCAACUGCAGGGGGUGGGUAUGAAAUUGCCAGAUGGCCCCAGCUGGUGUGCUCUGGAAUCCUUGGCGCCAAGGCCAUGCUGCCAGGGGCUUCUCCAGGCUGGUGAUCAAAUGUAGUGAGGAUCCUCAGGCAGGCCCAUUCCUGGAAGACAUGGGACUCUCCCGAUAGGUCGGCUCCAAGGCUACACAAGCAGCAAGAAGAAAAGGAAAAACUCUGUUUUAUUAAAGCUCCACUUGCCUAUCUACCUUGGUGGAGGGUCAAGAAAAGGUUUAUAACCUAUUUGCAGGUUUUAGGCUCCUGUUUGCAGCACAGAAACCACAGACAAUAGAAAUUCAGACUCAGUGGUGUGGCAGAAGAUAAAAUAAUUUGGGUUAUUUCUGUGAUAACAUGGGCAAUCUGGAAACUACUCCCAUUUGUGAGGGUAAAUCUCUAUUAUGAUACAUGGAAAAUAGGACAGAUGCUAAUUCAGCAAAAUAUGUUUCCCCUACUGGCUGCCCACUGCAUGGCUGAUGAAAGACAGGAAGGCGCUCAGAGGCAGCAUGCACAGAGGGUUUGCUUGGA